rnacentral:rRNA from 1 species
UACGUAGGGUCCGAGCGUUGUCCGGAAUUACUGGGCGUAAAGAGCGUGUAGGCGGCCCGGUAAGUCCGCUGUGAAAGUCGGGGGCUCAGCCCUCGAAUGCCGGUGGAUACUGUCGGGCUAGAGUGCGGAAGAGGCGAGUGGAAUUCCUGGUGUAGCGGUGAAAUGCGCAGAUAUCGGGAGGAACACCUGUGGCGAAGGCGGCCGCCUGGUUGGAUACUGACGCUGAGACGCGAAAGCGUGGGGAGCAAACAGG